UGAAAUUGUAUCGAUAGCAGUGAAGACUAGUACCCUUUCUCCACUCUGCCACUUAUAAAUAAUUUUUGUAUUUCAGAAAACUUGAAGAUGACAAAACAAACACAAAAAUCAGUCUUCAAUCCAGGCAUGGUGGUACACACCUGUAAUCCCAGUGGCUCAGGAGGAUCACAAGUUCAAAGCCAGCCUCAACAACUUAGUGAGGCCCCCAAGCAACUCAGGAAGACCCUGUCUCAAAACAAAAGAUUUUUAAAAAGGACUGGGGAUGUGGCUAAGAGCCCCUGAGUUUAAUAAGUUUUGCUUGUAGCAAAAACAGCAGCAGCAAAAACAACAACAAAGCAGUCUUCAAAAAGAAGGUAUUAACUUUAGGGUAAAUGUGCUAUGCAGACGAUUCAUGCUUUUUCAGAUCUGUUUCUUCGUCAGGAAAUUCUCAGGCAAAGAGAAAAUAUUUGCCCACAGGAGAAGGAAUUGUGUUAUCAUCAUUUGCUGCCAUCACUUCUGUGCUUAAAAGGCACUUGAUAGAUACUUUUGGAACAAAUUGAUCCAUAAUCUAGUGAAUAUACUUGCAAUUUUAUUUUAUUUUAUUUUAUUUUAUUUUAUUUUUGGUACCAGGGAUUGAACUCAGGGGCACUCAACCACUAAGCCAUAUCCCAGCCCUAUUUUUAUUUUAUUUAGAUACAGGGUCUCACUGAGUUGCUUAGCACCUUGCUUUUGCUGAGGCUGGCUUUGAACUCAUGACCCUCCUGCCUCAACCUCUGGAGCUGCUGGGAUUGCAGGCAUGCACUACAGUACCAGGCUGCAAUUUUUUUCUAAAAGACAUUUUAUAUGAAUGGUCAUGUUUUUUUACAGAAAGUUUAUUUAAAAAGUGUAUCAUUUUUGUUUUCUGAGUAUGAAAACCUUAGGGACUUUUGAAAAGAAAGAAAAUAUAUUUCAACCAUUCCCUCUUCUUUCAGAUUUAGACUGGUUAGUUUUAACUACUUCUAACAUGUGAUAUAAUAUACCAAUUUAUUAUGUUCAUUGUCCAUCUUCUGCUAGAAAUUAGACUGCACAAGGGUAGAGAUUUUUCCUGUUUUGUUUACUCUGGGCUUCUAGAAUGUGCUCAAUAAAUGUUUCAAGUGGAUUAAUGUGGCAUAAUUUGCUUUUUAUUAUAUUCAUGGUUAAUUGGAUGUCUC
rnacentral:lncRNA from 1 species